ensembl:snoRNA
UUUUUUGUUUUAAUCUGCCAGCAGUGGCCGUCUCCCUUCCUGGCCAUGGAAGAGCAUAUUCUUAUGGGCAAAGCUGUCACCCUUGAAUGGGCAUCAGAGUCUGACUUGCACUAGUAACAUUG